GUGCAUUUAACGGCUUUUCUUCGACAACUCUAGCUUGAAAAAAUAAGACCGCAUCUGUGUGAACAGACAAAUACAGUGUUGGCUGCAUCACUAAGUCUAAUGGUUGCUAAAUGGUAUUGCAGAGAUUUCUGAAUUACAUUUCCUGUAGAAUGACUGAGUAUUAUGGGAAAUGUAAUACAGACAUCUGUAAUGCUAAGGCUAUCCAACUCUAACUAUUAUUAACUAAGCCAACUAAGUUAUAUCUUCUGUACCAAGCACUGUUCAGAAUGGAAUAUCCCUGGGUCACAGCUGUCUAGCUAAUCCUAGACUAUAACUCCAAUUACUUUUAAUUGCAGUCUAUCAUAACAUAUGGAUUUUAGCUAUAGAACAUCUCUAAUCCAUAAAGAAAUAACAGUUUUGUCUGCAAUUAUUCAACAAAUAUUUUGAACAAAUCCAUUCCAG